rfam:Gossypium hirsutum cultivar TM-1 chromosome 14, whole genome shotgun sequence
AACUCGUAGUGCGAGCAUUUUUUAUUCAACAUUUUGAACUGUUCCCAUGCCUCAUAGAAACUCUCUCCCUCCAUCUAUCUAAAAAAAACAAUCUCUCUUCUUACUU